UACCAGCACCCCGAGUGGUCGGGACGUUUAUUGGGCCUAAAGCAUCCGUAGCCGGUUCUACAAGUCUUCCGUUAAAUCCACCUGCUUACAGAUGGGCUGCGGAAGAUACUAUGGAGCUAGGAGGCGGGAGAGGCAAGCGGUACUCGAUGGGUAGGGGUAAAAUCCGUUGAUCCAUUGAAGACCACCAGUGGCGAAGGCGGCUUGCCAGAACGCGCUCGACGGUGAGGGAUGAAAGCUGGGGAGCAAACCGG
rnacentral:rRNA from 1 species